AUUGAACGCUGGCGGCAUGCUUUACACAUGCAAGUCGAACGGCAGCACGGGGGCAACCCUGGUGGCGAGUGGCGAACGGGUGAGUAACACAUCGGAACGUGUCCAGUUGUGGGGGAUAACCCAUCGAAAGGUGGGCUAAUACCGCAUGAGCUGGCAACAGGAAAGCGGGGGACCCGCAAGGGCCUUGUGCGAUUGGAGCGGCCGAUGUCCGAUUAGCUAGUUGGUGGGGAAAGGCCUACCAAGGCUUCGAUCGGUAGCUGGUCUGAGAGGAUGAUCAGCCACACUGGGACUGAGGCACGGCCCAGACUCCUACGGGAGGCAGCAGUGGGGAA
rnacentral:rRNA from 1 species